rnacentral:rRNA from 1 species
CACGUAGGAGGCGAGCGUUAUCCGGAUUUACUGGGUGUAAAGCGCGUGCAGGCGGUUCAGAAAGUUGGAUGUGAAAGCUCCUGGCUUAACUGGGAGAGGUCGUUCAAUACUUCUGGACUCGAGUAUGGGAGAGGGAGGUGGAAUUCCGGGUGUAGUGGUGAAAUGCGUAGAUAUCCGGAGGAACACCAGUGGCGAAAGCGGCCUCCUGGCCCAUUACUGACGCUCAGACGCGAAAGCUAGGGUAGCAAACGGG